rnacentral:tRNA from 1 species
AGAGAAAGACGACAUGGUAGAUGGUGAAAUUAAUUUUAAUGUUUUUUGCUUUUGCUGUCAUUUUUUUUAUUACGAAAAAUCCCUAAUUAAGAGUCUCGUAGCUCAGCUGGUUAGAGCGCUACACUGAUAAUGUAGAGGUCGGCAGUUCGAGUCUGCCCGAGACUACUAGAUUUAAUGGGUUUAUGGAAAUUCUAGUAACUGAGAAUUUAAUAAUAACCUAAAUCAAUUUGAUUAAUUUUUUUUGGGGGAUUAGCUCAGCUGGCUAGAGCGCCUGCCUUGCACGCAGGAGGUCAUCGGUUCGACUCCGAUAUUCUCCACUAUGGAAUUUUUUCCAAAUAAGUUCUUUGACAUAUUGAAAUAAAAUACAUGAUAGAAUAUAAAUCAUUUUUUUUAAAAUGGUUGUAUGAGCAUAAUAAAGUAAUUUAAAUAAAGAGAAAAGUUAC